GAUUCCCCUAGUAACUGCGAGUGAAGCGGGAAAAGCUCAAAUUUAAAAUCUGGUGGUCUUUGGCCAUCCGAGUUGUAAUUUAGAGAAGCGUCUUCCGCGCUGGACCAUGCACAAGUCUCCUGGAAUGGAGCGUCAUAGAGGGUGAGAAUCCCGUCUUUGGCAUGGACACACCAGGGCUUCUGUGAUGCGCUCUCGAAGAGUCGAGUUGUUUGGGAAUGCAGCUCAAAAUGGGUGGUGAACUCCAUCUAAAGCUAAAUAUUGGCGAGAGACCGAUAGCGAACAAGUACCGUGAGGGAAAGAUGAAAAGCACUUUGGAAAGAGAGUGAAACAGUACGUGAAAUUGUUGAAAGGGAAACGCUUGAAGUCAGUCGCGUCGGCCGAGACUCAGCCUUGCCUYGGCUUGGUGUAUUUCUUGGCCGACGGGUCAGCAUCAAUUUCGCCCCUUGGAUAAUGGUGAGGGAAAUGUGACACCUUUAUAGGUGUGUUAUAGUCUCUUGUCGCAUGCAAGGGUCGGGAUUGAGGAACUCAGCAUGCACCUUCGGGUGUCGGGACUUUUGUCCACGAUGCAUGCUUAGGAUGUUGGCGUAAUGGCUUUAAACGACCCGUCUUGAAACACGGACCAAGGAGUCUAACAUGCCCGCGAGUGUUUGGGUGGAAAACCCAUUCGCGAAAUGAAAGUGAAAGUUGGGACCUCUGUCGUGGAGGGCACCGACACCCGGACCAGACCUUCUGUGACGGAUCUGCGGUAGAGCGUGUAUGUUAGGACCCGAAAGAUGGUGAACUAUGCCUGAAUAGGGUGAAGCCAGAGGAAACUCUGGUGGAGGCUCGUAGCGAUUCUGACGUGCAAAUCGAUCGUCAAAUUU
rnacentral:rRNA from 1 species